UCAAUCAGCUCUCUGGCUUUAGAAAUGUAGGCACCCAUGGCGUCUUCCUUCGACAACCCUAGAGAGACACAGACACGUCAUCUCCCAGACCGGUGUGGUGGGUGGCAAACUUCCUCACAUCUUGUGCGGCCUGGUCAAAAUCAGCCUAGAGCAGAAGAUGGCAAGGACAUGCAAAAGGCACACGUGUGGUGCAUAUACAUUACCUGCAAGCAAGGUACUCACAUAAAAUCUAAUUCUUAAAGAAAAAUGUAAGGUCUCACGUCAACUGAUUUCCAGGAAAACAAAGUCGUUUAUCUUCGGGUUGAUUAGCAAACGUGUAUUGUAAAUAAAAAAUUUUUGGUAA